AAAGUCAGUCGGCCGAGCGCCUCACAACGUACCUACCAUUCAUUACAACGGCACCUCACUGCCACGACCGAUGCACUAAAAUUGUUUGCAAUAUUUAAAAAAAAACUAUCGGUGUCCAAUUCGCGCGUUUUUUGACAACUCGUUAGCUGUCAGAUUUCCGCGCGAUUUUCGCACCGGCGUAUUUUUGGCCAGUGUUUUGAAGUUUUAUUUUUUGUUUUGUGCAAUCACGUUGUUUACAAUUAAGGUUCGGAGUAAAAGAUACAGCAUGUCCCAAAACUGCAAGACAACGUACACUGCUGCCACCACGAGGGACGCAAAUAACAACACCCUGUACCACGGCACCACCACACAGGGGUACGGGGCGAGGGGGUACACGCCGCCAAGUGUCACCUCCAAUGGAAAUUAUAAGCAAGUGUCGUCGAAAGCGCUGUUCGGCAGCGUCGCUUCGAUCAAUGACCUCAAGCGACAGGAGAAGGGCGAGCGCGAAAUGCGACGGACGCAUUAACGCCAUCUAGCGGCAGAUACAUGGAUACAUAUUGUGAUAAUGCUGAUAUGAAUUUAAAAAAAUAAUGGAAGCUAAGGAAUGAUCUCGGCCGACAGAGUAAUUCUAACACGUACCUAUUUAUGUGAAGAAUAAAAUUUAAACAUUUAAUGUACAUGUGUGUACGGACUUUGGAUUUGAAACAAAAAAAUAUUGAGUUAAUAUUUCAAUGACAUGUUAUGUUUCUGAACGAAUGGGCGUUAAGACGUUUUUAAAAUCAAUUUCAAUUCUAGCACUUUCGAUGCCAUUUCGUUGGGUGUUAACAAAAGUCACAAAAAAUUAUUAUCAUUUCUUAAAUUGGCGCCUUUUUAUAAAUGAAGUAUGCAAUAUAAAUAAAUAAAAAUAUAAAGCACAGGUGUAAAUGGAACAAAAGACACAAGAAAAUUAUUAUCAUUUCUCAAAUUGGCGCCUUUUUGUAAUGGCACAGAAUAUAAAUAAAAAUAAUUGCCACAUUCCAGUUACGGACGACAAUGCCGUUGGAUGUUUCUGUGAAAUACAAUAAUAAUUUUAAUAUAAUUCUUGCCCCAAAAACGGCUUUUGAAUGUUGAAGAAAUAUUUUUUUCCGUUUGGCUUAGGCCUUGAACGAUUCAAAAUCAAAAUUAUAUCACAUAAUUUUUUAAGUGGGAAUCAUUAGACACGCCAACGAGUUUAAUGUUAGACUCCCGUGCACAAGUAUACACUGAAUUAUCUUUUUUUUAUAUUUUUCAUUUACAAAAAACGUCUGUGAUUGAUGUUGUUUUCUCAUAGAGAUUUUUUUUGUUUUUUUUUGUGUAUGAAAUUUUAUGUAAGAUUUUUUUAUGAAUAACAAUUUUAGUGAUAAGACAUUUAUUUGUUUUUUUAUUUUUAUUUUUUAAAAUUAGUUGUUAAAAGAGAUUAAAAUUGAUUCGGCAACGUGACUGAGCUGAUGUUUGAGUGUUCGCGUUUUCGACAUAUAAGUAGAACAAACUAUACGAGGUUUGGUUAGACCGAGCCGAGACGAAAUGAAACUAUUGGCUGAAAUAGAACGACGCUUAAGUGGUCAGUCUACUGGUGGUAGGACCUCUUGUGAGCCCGCACGGGUAGGUACCACCACCCCGCCUACUUCCGCCGUGAAGCAGUAACGCGUUUCGGUCUGAAGGGUUAGGCAGCCGUUGUAACUAUACUGAGACCUUAGAACUUAUAUCUCAAGGUGGGUGGCGCUUUUACGUUGUAGAUGUCGAUGGUCUCGGGUAACCACUUAACACCAGGUGGGCUGUGAGCUCGAAUAUCCAUCACAGCAAAAAAAAAAAUGGUAUAGAGUAUAAUUCAGUAAUUGAAUUGGUUUUAUUAUUUUGACGCAACUAUCAUGACACGUUUGUAACAAAAAUCGUAUAUGAAGACGCUUAAUAUGUGACUUAGAACACGAACACAAAGACGAAAUUGUUUAGUCAAUAAAGAUAUCCUAUAUUUUAGAUGUAUAUUUUUUUUGUAUUUCUGUAAUAAAAGAUGUUUAUAAACAAUAA